CUUUGAAAAUGAUGAUGCACAUUUUAUUUCCAAUGGGAGAUCCGUCGGCCAUGCCCAUAAGUUAACAGAAAGGUUGGCGAGAGGCAAGAGGCAUGCCCCGAUCCACCCAAAAAGUGAAGAAGAAGGGCCUGAUUGGUGAAACUAGCUCCGAUAGGCCUAAGACUUGUCCUUUCCCGUCGCCCAAGGGAUCAAACUCUACUCCCACUCCCACUGCUCCACCAUCGGAUACCCCUCUGGUUGUUUCUGAGCAGCCAGUCGGUGCACCAUGGUCGAGUUCCCUUGUUGCCCAUUCAAUUCCACCACUCUUCUUUCCCGGCAUAAAAGGGCCUGAGGCUAUUCCAUGAGCAUACGCUGAUGACUACCUCCGAGGUCCGGGCAGAGGACACGAGGUAGCCUGAUGACAUGCCCGUGGAUGAUGAAAUAGACUAUAGUACCUGUAACUGUAAGAUCUCCCAUCAUUCCGUCUGUAUUGGAGAUUUUGACUUCCUGGCUUGCUCAAUGGUGUGUUUGUGAUACAUAAUUCCUCCCAAAUGCUGGAACUUCAUCGGCUUCUUUUUACACCUUGACUCUUGGGUUUAUCCAUGGUGUUUGUUGCUAUUGCUGAGUUGUUCCCGUGUGCAGGGGAUAGCGUUGUGGCUUCUCAAGUUGUAACUUCACCCGCGCUCCCCUAGUUACUGCCAGUCGCCCCAUUCCGCCAAGGCUAAUCAGGGCACCACAUCUCAGUGGACCCUGUGUAGCUGUCGGAUAAGGAUUCGCGCGAUCAAGUCUAUCCUUUCGGAAGCAUUCCAUCUAUCUUUGUCGGACCUCAUCGAUUUUGAUCUCAGACGGUUGGUUGAUGCCCUUCUAGAGGAUCCUUCACAUGAUGAGCAUCUGAAUCGAUCCUUUACCAAGGUAAGAGAGUUUCAAGUAGCUAGACUGCUGGGUUUGAAGCUGAGAAUACGAGAAGGUGAUGCCGGACGUGAGGGAACCAGUGUCUUGACGUCAGCCGGCGUUUGAGUGUGGAAGGAGGUGCUUCCCUGCAGGACUACUCCUACUCCUACUCCUACUCCUAAAGGUGCUUAUCUAUUAGGAUCAAAAUUUAGUACCUUGGUGGGGUGGGUAUUAGACUACCAGCAUCUUUGGUGAAAAUCACAGUGGGUGUCUCUGUUAGAUGGAAAACCUCAUUUCUUAUGACCCGGUUGGCUUUGGUGCCGCUGUCGGGACAUACAUCCAAUAAGGUACCAUUUUGAUCACCUUAUCAUGUGUUUGUUUGGAGGAUUUUGGAAGACUUUCACUAUUCACACAAAAUUUUUCCUCUAAAAUAUUAAACAUCUAUUUUUUUUAUUUUUUAUAUUAUACUAAAAAUCAAUUUCACAUUCAAAAUAUCAAUCAAUACUUAUUUAUAUCACAUCAUAUAACUAUUCAAAUUCAAUUUUUUUACUAUUCAAAUCUCAACUCAAAAUUC